GUGCUUUGGCAGCACAUACACUAAAAUUGGAAUGACAUAGAGAAGAUUAGAAUGGCCCCUGUGCAAGGAUGACAUGCAAAUUCACGAAGCAUUCCACAUUUUA
rnacentral:snRNA from 1 species